rnacentral:rRNA from 1 species
GAGUUUGAUCCUGGCUCAGGACGAACGCUGGCGGCGUGCUUAACACAUGCAAGUCGAGCGAAGUUAUUCCUUCGGGGAUAACUUAGCGGCGGACGGGUGAGUAACACGUGGGUAACCUGCCUCGUAGAGGGGGAUAGCCUUCCGAAAGGAAGAUUAAUACCCCAUAACAUAGCAUUAUCGCAUGAUAAAGUUAUUAAAGGAGUAAUCCGCUAUGAGAUGGACCCGCGGCGCAUUAGCUAGUUGGUGAGGUAACGGCUCACCAAGGCCACGAUGCGUAGCCGACCUGAGAGGGUGAUCGGCCACAUUGGGACUGAGACACGGCCUAGACUCCUACGGGAGGCAGCAGUGGGGAAUAUUGCACAAUGGGCGAAAGCCUGAUGCAGCAACGCCGCGUGAGUGAUGAAGGCCUUCGGGUCGUAAAGCUCUGUCUUCGGGGACGAUAAUGACGGUACCCGAGGAGGAAGCCACGGCUAACUACGUGCCAGCAGCCGCGGUAAUACGUAGGUGGCAAGCGUUGUCCGGAUUUACUGGGCGUAAAGGGAGCGUUGGCGGAUACUUAAGUGGGAUGUGAAAUACCCGGGCUCAACCCGGGUGCUGCAUUCCAAACUGGGUAUCUAGAGUGUGGGAGAGGAAAGUGGAAUUCCUAGUGUAGCGGUGAAAUGCGUAGAGAUUAGGAAGAACACCAGUGGCGAAGGCGACUUUCUGGACCAUAACUGACGCUGAGGCUCGAAAGCGUGGGGAGCAAACAGGAUUAGAUACCCUGGUAGUCCACGCCGUAAACGAUGGAUACUAGGUGUGGGGGAUACCAAUCCUCCGUGCCGUCGUUAACACACUAAGUAUCCCGCCUGGGGAGUACGAUCGCAAGAUUAAAACUCAAGGAAUUGACGGAAGGCGAAUUCGUUUAAAC